AGAAGCAGCGGAUUUCUGCCGCGCGGUUGUGAUUUAGAAGGAGCCGGACGGGCUAUCUCACGCUUCCUCCUUUAGGAUGGAAGGACGGAUAUAAACUCAGCU